CCCGGGACCCGCUCGAGCGGCCGCUGCCCCAGCACGUCACCCCCUCCUCCCCAGCCCGGUACGGACCCGGACGCGGUCGCGCACCGCUACCUGCAGCUAGGUGCAGUACUCCUUUGGUGAGGAACUCCUACCUCCCAAUGUCCUGGACCUUCCUACUGGUGGAGGAGCAAAGAGGAUACUCACAGACUCUUCCUCUCAGCCCUGCAGUGUUUGAACAUCUGUUAGAAGCCAGCCCUCUGCAGGGUCUUUGAGGGGAUGAAAUACCAGCCUCCGAGCACCAGAUGCCUAUUAGUCUUUGUCGAUGAGCAAGAAGAAUAGAGAGUCCAUGGCGUUCACUUUGUUUG